rnacentral:tRNA from 1 species
GGGGUCGUAGCUCAACGGUUAGAGCAGGGGACUCAUAAUCCCUUGGUUGAUGGUUCGAAUCCUUCCGACCCUA